GGUGUGAAUGAGCCAGUGGCUCGAGUCUGACAUCAACCCGCUGUGGAUGACGGCAUCACCGAAACAGCUCCGAGAAGUUUGCGAAGACUCGGCUGUGCCGCGGUACUGAGGGAGUCAAACAAAAAGAGGACAAAACAGGAGAGAGAGCAGAAAAAUGGAAAUAAAACGAGAGGAAACAAAGCGCUCGACCUUCAGCACCAAACAGAAAAACACUGUGUGUGUGUGUGUGUGUGUGUGUGUGUGUGUGUGUGUGUGUGUGUGUGUGUGUGUGUGUGUGUGUGUGUGCGCUGCUAAGGGAUUUCCAGGCAUCCCAGUUCAGGGAAUUCCCUCCAUCCCAGCAGAGACUUGAGUGAGCGAGGAAAGAGCGACACCAGAAGGAGAAAGCGAGGAUACGUUUCAGCUCUACUUUGACACAAAGGCCUCUGCUGUGAUGCUCACACCUGUGAUAAAGUCUCGCAAGUGUCAGCUUCCUUUUUAUAGAUAUAAAAAUAUGGAAAUGUACUGAUCUGAAUUAUAAUAUUUCUGACUGUCUGAGGCAAAAUUUCCCCGAUUUAAAUAGAAUCAAAUUGAAUCGAAUCGAUUCUAGAAAUCAGUGACGAUACCCAGCCCUAAUCCAGAGGAACUAUGAUGCGUCCAGCUGACAGAGGUGAAGACGAGACGGUGUUUCAUGAAAACACAAAGAACACUUUAAAGCAUGAAGAGGACGAGCAGCUGCUGUGCAGGGAAGCAGGCUGGGGACGUUUCCUGAAACUGAUGUGUGAAGGACUGUGGAAUCUGAUGAAGACGUUUCACUGACUGACUUUUAAUUUCAAACAUUUAAAUAUAAAUAAAGCAAAAUAAAAUUCACUGCAAACAGAAAAAAAAAAAACAGUCUCCCUGUUCUUCGUCCCGUACUCUCUGCGAAAACUCCUCUUCAAGUUUCAAACAAGCUCAAAGUUUAGCACUAGAACACAACAGUGUGGCCAUGUUGUUCAUGUUUGUGCAUCGAAAUAAAACUGCAGACAAAACAUUUGGACACAUAACCCGAUUAAAUCCUCAUUUGUCCCAGCACAAGUCCCCCGUGUCCUGC
ensembl:lncRNA